rnacentral:misc_RNA from 1 species
GAUGAAGAACGCAGCGAAAUGCGAUACUUGGUGUGAAUUGCAGAAUCCCGUGAACCAUCGAGUCUUUGAACGCAAGUUGUGCCCGAAGCCGUCAGGCCGAGGGCACGCCUGCCUGGGCGUCACACGCCGUUGCCCCCCCGCGCCCCGCACCCAACGCUUUGGGAGCGACCGCGGGGCGGGCUGAUGAUGGCCUCCCGUGCGCUCCGCCGCGCGGUUGGCCCAAAUACCGAGUCCCCGGCGACGUGCGCCACGACGAUCGGUGGUUGAGAGACCUCUGUCGCAAGUCGUGCGCGCCCGUCGCGUCACGCGGGCUCGCAUAGCGCCUCGCGCCGCACCCGGUGCGGAGCUUUCAACGCGACCCCAGGUCAGGCGGGGUUACCCGCUGAAUUUAAGCAUAUCAAUAAGCGGAGGA